AAGCAUCAAACAGCCGCCUUACUUUUUUCAUCCACAUCCAUCUUCAUCACCGCCAUCGUUUUUGUAUCAUAUUUAUUCAUCUUAUUCACUUACAAAUCAUAAUUUUUACACAGCAAGCAGAUUUCUCCUUCCGGUGCGACGCGACCAGGACAUGGAUUUUAAUUUGAAUUAUCAGAAUUAGCUUUCAAGUUGAACUUCAAAUUCAGGUUUUAAAGGCCGGUGACGCGUGGAAAGUCGAAUGGCGAGUCAAAUAUUUUGUAUUUAGUUUUACUUAAAAAUGUUAUGUUUAGUAAAGUAUUUUAAAAUAAGAUAUUUAUUUCUUUAUUUUCACAUUAAAUAUUUAUUUAUAGUCAUGUUUUUCCGCGUGCGUUUUCAUUUAAAAUUAAAAUGAAUUUGGGUGUCACAGAAUGAAUUAUGUUAUGUUGCUUUUGCUA